UACGGAGGGAGCGAGCGUUGUCCGAAGUUACUGGGCGUAAAGCGCGCGUAGGCGGGGAAUUAAGUGAGAAGUGAAAGGCUGGGGCUCAACCUCAUGCAGUGCUCCUCAUACUGGUUCUCUUGAGGGCGGUAGGGAGAAGUGGAAUGGCUGGUGUAGCGGUGAAAUGCGUAGAUAUCAAGCGGAACACCGGUGGCGAAGGCGGCCUUCUGGACAGUGACUGACGCUGAGACGCGAAAGCGUGGGGAGCAAACAGG
rnacentral:rRNA from 1 species